AACGAACGCUGGCGGCAGGCUUAACACAUGCAAGUCGAGCGCCCCGCAAGGGGAGCGGCAGACGGGUGAGUAACGCGUGGGAACAUAUCCUUUCCUGCGGAAUAGCUCCGGGAUACUGGAAUUAAUACCGCAUACGCCCUACGGGGGCAAGAUUUAUCGGGGAAGGAUUGGCCCGCGUUGGAUUAGCUAGUUGGUGGGGUAAAGGCCUACCAAGGCGACGAUCCAUAGCUGGUCUGAGAGGAUGAUCAGCCACAUUGGGACUGAGACACGGCCCAAACUACUACGGGAGGCAGCAGUGGGGAAUAUUGGACAAUGGGCGCAAGCCUGAUCCAGCCAUGCCGCGUGAGUGAUGAAGGCCUUAGGGUUGUAAAGCUCUUUCACCGGAGAAGAUAAUGACGGUAUCCGGAGAAGAAGCCCCGGCUAACUUCGUGCCAGCCGCCGCCGUAA
rnacentral:rRNA from 1 species